AGUGAACGCUGGCGGUAGGCCUAACACAUGCAAGUCGAACGGCAGCACAGUAGGAGCUUGCUCUUACGGGUGGCGAGUGGCGGACGGGUGAGGAAUACAUCGGAAUCUACUUUUUCGUGGGGGAUAACGUAGGGAAACUUACGCUAAUACCGCAUACGACCUACGGGUGAAAGCAGGGGAUCUUCGGACCUUGCGCGAUUGAAUGAGCCGAUGUCGGAUUAGCUAGUUGGCGGGGUAAAGGCCCACCAAGGCGACGAUCCGUAGCUGGUCUGAGAGGAUGUCCGCCACACCUGAACCUGAGAACGGUCCCAGCCCCAUAGGGGGGCCAGAAGGGGGGAAUAUUGGCAAAUGGCCGAAACCUUGACCAAGCCAUCCGGGGUGGGUGAAGAAGGCUUCCGGGUGGUAAACCCUUUUUGUUGGAAAAAAAAACAAGCAGGUAAAUCCCCGGUUGUCUGACGGGUACCAAAAGAAAAACACCGGCUAACUUCCGG
rnacentral:rRNA from 1 species